rnacentral:miRNA from 1 species
AGAUUGGGCAUAGGUGACUGAA